rnacentral:rRNA from 1 species
GAUGAACGCUGACAGAAUGCUUAACACAUGCAAGUCUUUGGCGAAGCUGUGCUUGCACAGCCUAGCCAAGGCGGACGGGUGAGUAACGCGUAAGGAACUUCCCCUGCAGUCAGGGAUAACAGACGGAAACGACUGAUAAGACCUGGUAAAGUCAGGCGGACUCAUGUCCAGCCUGAUGAAAAGAGAUGCUGCAGGAGAGCCUUGCGUCCUAUUAGCUUGUUGGUGGGGUAACGGCCCACCAAGGCGAUGAUAGGUAGCCGGCCUGAGAGGGUGGACGGCCACAAGGGGACUGAGAUACGGCCCUUACUCCUACGGGAGGCAGCAGUGGGGAAUAUUGGACAAUGGGGGCAACCCUGAUCCAGCAAUUCUGUGUGCACGAUGAAGGUUUUCGGAUUGUAAAGUGCUUUCAGCAGGGAAGAAAAAAAUGACGGUACCUGCAGAAGAAGCGACGGCUAAAUACGUG